UGUAUGAGCGUGAGUUUAGACUGACUAGAUCCACUAGUUGCUUAGAAGAACCGUAUGGCUGGUAAGAGUUUUGACCAAAUAUUACUCGAAAAAAGGUGUUUAUGGUGAAAGGAAGGAACUUUAUGUGCAAGGCGGGUCCAUUAAGUACCAUGAACAUUUUUUUGCAUGAAUUUUAAAGUAGACCACAAAAAAUGUUUGAACAGUAUGUGAGGUGGAAAAGGACUCCCAAUGGAGUCCUCCUUUCCUCGAGUUCGA
rnacentral:lncRNA from 1 species